UGGUAUUGGAUGCUUUAGAUUUUCCAUUGUUCAGAAAUAUCUGGAGUGAAAUUUUCUGUCUCAUUUUUCUUGUGUAUUUUAACUGCAAGCUCUCCAUCCUCUGCUGAUGGCCAUUGGGAUUAUCCUCUUAAGUGGAGAAGAAAUCUUGGUGAAUAGAUGGUUACUAGGGUCUAGGAGCUUGAAGAAAUCUGUUCAAUUGUGCCUUCAAGGGGCAGCUCUUGGUUGUGGGAUCUUUGGGAUUUGGACAAAAUUCCAGGGAAAAGGUGGGAUUGUGGCAAGCUUUAUCUCUGGUUCUGUCCCUAUUGGCGUUCUGUUCUUCCUCCAUUAUUAAGGUAGAGCAAGACAUGUAGAUAAUCAAUUUUUGAGGUAUCCACUGGUUAUCUCCAUUUGUUUGGAAGCAUAAAGGAAUUAACUUAUGUCCCUUGGUUGUUAAUGGAUUAUGUGAGGGAGGCUGUUCUGCAAUUAGACUCAGGGGCAUCUCUAAUUGUUGGUCCAACUAUAUUACAAAAGCCAAAAUAAGGAAAUCACAAUAAAGCCUCCAUUACAAAUCCUUCACUUCCCUUCACCUGCAAUUAUGGGUUUUCCUGCCAUGAACAAACAAGAUUGGGCCCUCCAAAACCAAGCUCUCUCCUCCAUUCUAUCGUUCCCUACAAUGCCCCAUCAACACUUCGAUCCACAUUUCGUCUACCAUGGCCAAUAUAGUCUCUAUCAAACACCUUACAUGCACAUGAUCUCAUUUGAUUCUGAAUUGUGGAAGGUUUUGUUAUCUUUACUCAAUUGGCCCAAACAAGAUGCUAUAAUUUAUACUUGAAGGCUUUUACCAAUAUUUGUGAUUGAUUAAAUUUCUUUCAAACGUUAUGGUUUACUUGGAUUAAAUGAUUGUGGAAAGUCUACUCUGCUUACUGCACCAGGUUGUCAAGAAAUUCCAAUUCCCGAUCAUAUGGACAUUUAUCGCCUAAGCAGGGAAAAUGAAGCCUCUGGCAUGUUUGGAAGUUGUCAUUAGCAGUGAUAAGGAAAGGUCGACAUCAGAAAGAGAAGCUGAAACUUUGGCAGCCCAGUAUUGGUUUUGUUGCCUAAAUAAAAUAGACAACAUGGUUGCUAUAGAUGAAUUAAGUUCAGAGUGGUAUGGGGUUGUUAAAUUGUGGUGGAGUAGUCCCACUAGGAUCCAAGUUUGUAGAAUGUCAUGUAACUGCCUAUUCAUCGUAACUUGUAUAUUCAGUGUAAUAAAAUCUAAUUUAAAUCUA